rnacentral:rRNA from 1 species
AACGAACGCUGGCGGCAUGCCUAACACAUGCAAGUCGAACGAGACCUUCGGGUCUAGUGGCGCACGGGUGCGUAACGCGUGGGAACCUGCCCUUAGGUUCGGAAUAACUCCCCGAAAGGGGUGCUAAUACCGGAUAAUGUCUUCGGACCAAAGAUUUAUCGCCUUGGAUGGGCCCGCGUUGGAUUAGCUAGUUGGUAGGGUAAAAGCCUACCAAGGCGACGAUCCAUAGCUGGUCUGAGAGGAUGAUCAGCCACACUGGGACUGAGACACGGCCCAGACUCCUACGGGAGGCAGCAGUGGGGAGUAUUGGACAAUGGGCGAAAGCCUGAUCCAGCAAUGCCGCGUGAGUGAUGAAGGCCUUAGGGUUGUAAAGCUCUUUUACCCGGGAUGAUAAUGACAGUACCGGGAGAAUAAGCUCCGGCUAACUCCGUG